UACGGGGGGGGCAAGCGUUGUUCGGAAUUACUGGGCGUAAAGGGCUCGUAGGUGGCCAACUAAGUCAGACGUGAAAUCCCUCGGCUUAACCGGGGAACUGCGUCUGAUACUGGAUGGCUUGAGUUCGGGAGAGGGAUGCGGAAUUCCAGGUGUAGCGGUGAAAUGCGUAGAUAUCUGGAGGAACGCCGGUGGCGAAAGCGACACACUGGAUCUUGUCUGACGCUGAGGCACGAAAGCCAGGGGAGCGAACGGG
rnacentral:rRNA from 1 species